rnacentral:lncRNA from 1 species
CGCCCAUGGGCCCCUGUGAUGGUCAUGGCCUCAAGAAUCACAGUCCAGGUUACAUUAGUUAUACACUCUGGAGGUGACUUGACCUGUCAUUGUGAACAAUUAUUGCUCUUGGACGACCCAGGACAUAGGCCAGCCAGUACGUACCCCAGUGUGUUGGAGAAUCGCGCUCGGCUUCUUCCUCUGUGCUGAGUCAUGAAAGUUGCCGGAGCAGGUGCAGUUACACAACCUCCAGGUAUGAUCCUGUUUAAGGACUGGAUUUAGGAUAACUACUUAGAGGUUAAAAGUCACAAGGGUGUAUGGAUGAGGCUGGAGUGAUCUGGGACCAAAGACAUCUAGGCUUGCUGUCAAGGCUUCUGAUCAACAUGAGAUGACCGCCGUGUGGUAAACUGAUGAACCCUGACCCUGAUCAACAUGAGAUGACCGCCGUGUGGUAAACUGAUGAACCCCGACCCUGAUGAACGUGAGAUGACCGCCGUGUGGUAAACUGAUGAACCCCGACCCUGAUGAACGUGAGAUGACCGCCGUGUGGUAAACUGAUGAACCCCGACCCUGAUGAACGUGAGAUGACCGCCGUGUGGUAAACUGAUGAACCCCGACCCUGAUGAACGUGAGAUGACCGCCGUGUGGUAAACUGAUGAACCCCGACCCUGAUCAACGUGAGAUGACCGCCGUGUGGUAAACUGAUGAACCCCGACCCUGAUGAACAUGAGAUGACCGCCGUGUGGUAAACUGAUGAACCCCGACCCUGAUCAACAUGAGAUGACCGCCGUGUGGUAAACUGAUGAACCCCGACCCUGAUCAACAUGAGAUGACUGCCGUGUGGUAAACUGAUGAACCCUGACCCAUUAGGCUUUGGCUACAGAAUGUGGAAAUAAGUUGUGUUACUACAUGUGUGUAAUCCUAGGGUGCAGGACACCGGCCGGGAGGUUCCAUAGAGUGAUGGGUUCUGCAGGUAACUCAUCCUCUAGUCCUCUGUAAGCUCCUAGAAGGAAGAAAUUAUGUCCUUUAGACUAAUAAAAUUCCUCCAAACCAAAUACAGCACCUACUGUGAAGACACAAAGAUACUUUUAGAAUAGUAAAAACUUUAUCCAUUGAGAAAUUCCUUAAUGAAACAGUAUCCAAGAAGUCAUUUGCCAGCAGAUUUCUUAGAGGUGCGAUAAAGAAGAGGACAUUGCCAGUCGUCACAGCAGCUGCAAUAGCUCCUCUCUAUUGUUAAACAGUGGGAUAUCUUGUGCAGGUUUUCAGUUGACAAUCAAUUUUAAAGAUUAGUUUCGGUCCCCAUCAAUCAAUUAUUUAUUAACCCAUCAAUAAAAAUUUAAAUGCUCUGUGAGGUACAAUAGCUAUUAAAAGAGACAGAGGCACUUUCUGUGUCCAGAGGGGCUUUUAGUCUGCUCUGGAAAGCAAGAUGCGUGCAGAUGAGUGACGCAGUGCAUCGUGUGGAUGCAAAGGGAGGGACUCACAUGGGAACCAGAGGAGCUACGAAGGGAGGCAGUGGGGACUGGUGGGUCGAGACCUGGAAAUAACACAUGAAUAGGCAACAAAGGUUUCCUUUCCUCUUCCAUGCACUUCAGUCCUUGAAAAACGUCUUACCACGGAAUUCCACAGCGUACCAAGCGAUUCCACAGCUUGAUGGCACACUCUCCUUUCUCAGCAUUCUUGAAAAUGGCGUGUGAGCCAAGCCAUCUUACUGAGAAAUUACCUUAAACCAUUUGAUGAACCAAAAAUAUUUUGUAAUACCCAUCUCCGACAUUAGGUAGGCAAAUCACACAGAAACACCGAGGUCUUCUGAGUCAUAUUUAUCUGAAAAAUCACAGCUUGGGUGCAUGUGAAGCCAGAGGAGCACUCCUGGGGCCUGCGGUGCCAUCACUCAGCUCCCCUGGGCUUCACAUGGCCAUGGAGCACCCAGCAAGUGUAGGCUCUGAGCCUUCAGGGAGGGGCGGCAUCAGCCAGCACCAUCGUCUCCUGGGUCUUGUGCCUCUUCCUUGGUUGCGGUGUUGUCAGGGCCAGAAUUGGGCAAUUCCGGGUGACAUCCAGGUGUGGCUGCUGACACGGAGCACAGGUGAGGUUCACUGAGGUAAGUGGGCCAUGGCCUUGGGCUUCUAGUUCAGAGCACACCAUCCACUCAGCAUGUGAACCCAGCUCCAAAGCGUAUGUGUGCAUGUGUGUACCUGUGCACAUUGCGCAUGUCUCUGUGUAUGCAUGUGCUUUGAUGCAUGUUGAUGUACGGGUGUAUCUGUGUAUUGUGUAUGCACACACGAGCAUAUGUGUACAUGAAUUUGUAUUGCACAUGUGUUUAAUGCGAACACGUGUCAUGUGUAUGUGUUCACAUGCAUGUGUGUCUGUGUACUGUGUGCAACAGUGUGUGCAAGUGUGUAUAUGUGGGUUUAUGUUUGUACAGUGUGUGUAGUGUGUGUACACAUAUACACCUGUGUGCAUGUGUACAUGGUAUUUAAGCAUGUUUGCACGUGUGUUUGUGCUUGCAUGUGCUGCGUGUUUGUGUUGGUGGGAUGUGGGGAGGCUGCUGUGGAGACAAAAGCUGGAGAGAACUUGGUAGAGUAACCCAGGUCAGGAAAUGGCACCUGCAAAGGAAGGCUGGAGUGCCUGGGAUUCACGUUGAAAUGGCCAAUCCGUCAGCUGGGCUGGACACAGCCAUCACGCUGGGCAGCUGUGAGGUUAAAACAGAAAGUCUGGGCUGUGGGGAGGCUGAGAAUUGAGAUGCAUGUAUGAGAUGAGUCACGAGGGCCAAGUGGUGUGUGUGAGAAAGCAGGCACAGCACCACUAAACACUAAGGAGAUUUCAGGGGAGUUACGGGUGGAGGGAGGACAUCAGAUCUACCCUGGAAGUUAAACGUGUUUCGAGUGCAUUAAAUACUAUGGGCCACAGACGCCUUGUCUCCAUAUCUACUCUUUUAUAAAUGAAGUAAAGUUCUUGGGAAAUACUUUUCUCACUCUAAAGCUCACAAUCUAUCUUGCAAAAAAUAUUUUAAAUUCCAUCUCAAAUAAGCCAGGGUGAAAAGGGAGCCUGUGCACCAGACACUGCCAGCCUUGCCUGGCUCUCGCCUUCUUGCUCUUCCUUCCCCACCUGCUGGGGAUUUUCUUAACGAUGGAGAUGGGUUUGGGUUUGUCCUGCUGUGCUCUGCUCCCCAUUCCCGGAUCCAAGGUCCUGCCUCUGUCCUGUCCCCUGAGCCACCUCAGGGAUGCAGGGUCCCCCACCUGGUCAAGUGCCCAGUGCUGUGUUGUCAUUUGCAAGUUCUUCCUGUGACUGAACUCCAAAUGGCACUGGGACUGCUGACUCCACCCACUGGACAACCCGUGUUCUUGCUUUUGGGGUUUCUGAAACAGCCCCAAGACUCUGGGCAUCUUGAUUUUGCUCCCAUUGCUUCUCAGGACACCCUGCUCCUGUGGUUUGCAGCCCCGGCCUUCUCUUCGAGGACGCCUCUGCUCUUCUGCCUCACACUCGGAUUGGACCUUCUUCAGCACAGCCAGUGGCCGAGGCUUCCUCCCUGGGGCUCAGUGGAGCAGGACAGAUGCUGCAUCCAAACUCUUCCAUUGGGUUCCAGUCUGUUCCAGUCAUGCCCUUGAGCCUCUAAAGCUCCUAGGUGAGAGACGUAGCAGCUGACAGCACUUCCCACUUGAUUUGGGUGGACUCCAGCCUCCCCAGCAACAAUAAGAGAUCAAAAGCAUCGUUGAGGAAGCAGCUUGCUGAAACGCUGAGUGCCCGCCACUCUCAGGUCAGGUGGGACCGGCAGGCCAGCAUGAGUUCCUGAACACUUGGUUCUCAAUACUGGCCACAGCCACACUGUAAGGGGAAACAAGAGGGCACUGUAUGCAAACAUCUCUUGAACUCUGGAGUCUGCUCACCUUCCUGCCUCAAGCCCCUCUCCCACGUGGUCCAGUCACCAUUCUCCACAGAGACUACCCUAAAACCCAGCGACUCUCGUGUGCCUGCAGAAUGGCACAGCCCGUUCUCAUAGCAGCACUCCUGUUUAAUCAGAGGGAUGUUAACGACCAAGUCAUAUUUGCUCGAUUUGUGUUCAACAUAUUUCAUUUGUACCGAUAAAACUUAAAAAUAUCCCCACACAUGCAUUGCCUAUUAAAGAGUAUCUUCCAGGUACACCUCCCUUACACAUCAGUUAACUUGAUAAUUUCUUCCCAUUCUUGUGCAAUAAAUUUCCUUCCUGAUCAGCUCUGUCCAGCAGCAACAAUAAUCCACGUAGAGACAUGCAAACUAAAAGUCCGUUAGUGGAGGCACGAAGCUGAUGAGGCUUGGAAAAAAAUGACCGAUUUGAUUAAAAUUAGGACCCAUGGGAGUGGAGCUCUGCCUAUUUUAGAGGCAAAGUAAAUGCCUGGGAGUCCAAUCACCGACAUUCUGUUUGAGGUUUCUAAUCACAAGGAAGAUGGAGAAAAUGCAGAACAAGUGGUCAAGAACAGGGAGAUAAUAAAUAGAAUAUUUAUGGGCUGAGGAAAACAAUUACCAGGGGAAAGCCCAAGAAGCAAAGAUGAACAGAGAACGUGCUGACUGCGCUCGUUUGGAAAGGCCUCAUGGCCAAAGGAGGAGAGGCAUUAUGAGGAGCAGUGACCGAGUGGGCAGGACCCCCGGGGAUCAGGAAAGGUGCACGGGGGGAAAUGAGAGGCCUGAGCGGCUUCCCAGCGAAGGUUUUUGAAGCACGGUUUGAUUUUCUCUCUCCCCCUCACCAUCCCCAA